rnacentral:rRNA from 1 species
UACGUAGGGGGCAAGCGUUGUCCGGAAUCAUUGGGCGUAAAGAGCGUGUAGGCGGUCCGGUCAGUCGGUUGUGAAAGUCAAGGGCUCAACCCUUGAAUGCCGGCCGAUACUGCCGGGCUAGAGUCCGGAAGAGGUGAGUGGAAUUCCUGGUGUAGCGGUGAAAUGCGCAGAUAUCAGGAGGAACACCAAUGGCGAAGGCAGCUCGCUGGAACGGUACUGACGCUGAGGCGCGAAAGCGUGGGGAGCAAACAGG